UAGAGCGUAAUUUAUCCAGGAGAAUCUUCCUCUAAGCAGCGCUGUAAUCUUCUAUGCUGGACACACUGAAGAUUUGCUGGACAUUCUGAUGGCAAAAACAGGGAGCUUACCUCUUCUGGGCUUUGAUGAUCUCUCUACUUUUCUCAAGAAACUUGAAGUGGAUUCUGGCAUUCUAGCGGAACUGAGAGGCGUUCCUUUUUAGAGGCAUGCCUUACAAACAUGAAAAGUUCCUUAUUUUCCAGGCUGUGGCUCCAAGGCCUAUGCCAACCGAAAGAACAGGCACAGCUACAGCAGAGCGUCACCACUGCCAUCAGCAGAGAAACCAGGGAGUCCAGAAUCUCAGCGCUUCACCUGGAUACAGUGACACUGAGCGCGUGGCCACCGCUCAACAGCGCGCGCAAACCCCCGUCGCUGCCCCCAGCGGCCGGCAGGGGGCGCCCGCACUCGCCGUGACCGACCCUCCGGCGCCGCCCGCCCAGCGGGGCCCGCCUGGGGCUCCGGCCGCGGACACGGGGAGACCCGGCGCGUCGCCGUCCGCGGGAGCCCGGCCCGGGCGAGGCGCCGCGGGGCUCAGGGACCGCGCGGGGCGGGACAACGCGGAGCAAACGCUUCCUUUCGGCCCGACGCCGCGGGGAGCUCCGCCGGGGCCCCGCCAGAGCCUUCCGCUGCCUGCGCCUGCCCGCGUCCAUCCUUCCCUUUCUCCUGGAAGGUCGGGGCCACACCGUUUCCAAGAGCGCGCGCUCAUUCGGGGACCGGCGGCUCGAGGUCAGAGCGUGCUGUGGGCUGUUUCCAGGCUCAGGAGGCUUUCUGGGGAGAAAGACACGAAUUCGGGGAAACGGAGACGCAGCUACAAUAUGGACACGAAUCUAUAUAUAAGAUUUUAUUAAGUUUUAAUGGUUAAUUUAUCCUACAAAGUUAGAGUCGUUGAAAACUAUUAAAGAGGAGCUGUCUCUAUUUUGACAAAAUCAAAAUUUCCAGCAAGUACUUCUGUGUAUAGGGUGACUGAAGAAUGACCAAAAGUUUUCAUUAUGAAAGCUUUAAUAUACAGGCGCUGUGUGGCUGCAUGUGAACAUCCCUAUCACUGAUGACUGUGUGUCCCACUUCCCCUGCAUUGAUGUCAUCGAGCCAGGCAACAGUGUAGUCUCAGUGAGGAGCUGCUUCCUUGCCCACGGUGACCAGCCGGCAGGAAGAAUUCAUUUUUGAGUUCCAAGUUUAUUUCAAAACAGCUGACUAUCACAGAUAUAGCCCAUCUUUAAGUAGUACCUACCAGAGCCUUGGGCCUCAGCACGUCCGUCUCAGUACCAGCACAGCAACACCCCCAACUUCAAGUCGGUUCUCACCUAGGUCUCUGUCCGCUGUACAGUGGCUACUUUUCUAAUAUCUAUAAAAGCGACUUUUUAAAGGAAAAUUGUCCUGUCUCUGGACCCCUUUGGAGCUGGGCUGCCUGGUGGGCAGGAGAUGGGGUGACCCAGGUCAUGGGUCAGUUUUCAUCUCCCUAGCUUUGAAUCCACUUCCCUUCCAGUGGCUGGAGAGUGAUGUGUUACUUGAAGGUAUGUGGAGAUUUCUCCCCAAGCCUGUAAGCAGUAUAUUCUCCUCCCCAUCCCAGCUUUGCUGAGCCCUUUCAUCACUCUGCCUUCCCUUUGGCCGCCUGGAGGAGAAAGAGCAGGAACUUAUCUACUUUACCAACCCCACCACACCCUGGGUCCACAGUUCCCAACAAAGAGCUAAGGUCGCUAAACACUUUUAUGCGCUUGUACCAGUGAAGGGAGGUAACCUUUUCACAUGGAGCAGAGAGGUGAACGACACCCACAGCAGCCUUGCUGAUAGCUCCAGUCCCUGCCUCCACCACCACCACCACUUCCCAAACACAAAGCCAGGAGCUCUGUGUCUCCUACUGACCUGGAGCAUGUCACAUCGGGAGAGUAGCACUCCUCCCGUUGGUGUAAUCUAAGAUCCUUGUCUUUUCAUUGGCCAGCAUGGCAGCUCACUGGACUAGUCUUUCUAUGAUGAACUAGUAUUAAAAUUUCAUGGC
ensembl:lncRNA